UACGGGGGGAGCAAGCGUUGUUCGGAAUCACUGGGCGUAAAGGGCUCGUAGGUGGCCAACUAAGUCGGACGUGAAAUCCCUCAGCUUAACUGGGGAACUGCGUCCGAUACUGGAUGGCUUGAGUUUGGGAGAGGGAUGCGGAAUUCCAGGUGUAGCGGUGAAAUGCGUAGAUAUCUGGAGGAACACCGGUGGCGAAGGCGGCAUCCUGGACCAACACUGACACUGAUGAGCGAAAGCCAGGGGAGCAAACGGG
rnacentral:rRNA from 1 species